UUUUUAACAGAUUUCAAUCUUAAAAUAAUGUGUUAUUUUUGGGUUCAUCCCCUAGGGUGAACCUCUAGGUUCACCAACCAAUAAGAUUAUGUUAUUUCAAAUUUGAUAGUUUUUAUAAAAGGAAACAAAAUAUUGUCAAGUUAUAUUAUGUUU